rnacentral:lncRNA from 1 species
AACAAUAUUGUUCACGGGGUGCAGCACAACAUUGUUCACUCCUGUUUGAACAACGCCGAACAACUUGAUCAAUUUUUACCCGUGUACGUGUACGAAAUUCACCCCUAUAUGGUCUAUCGCCCCGUAUAGUUGGCCGAAGAAGCAUGGUGACCCCCAAUUUUCUUUUCGUGCAUUAUUUUACUUGGACGAAAAGCUAACAUUUAGCGAAAUAUAAAAAAAUUCUG